rnacentral:rRNA from 1 species
UCAAAAACAUGUCCUUUUGAGUUUAAUUUAAGGUCGGGCCUGCCCCCUGAUGAUAUAUUAAAGGGCCGCGGUAUUUUGACCGUGCAAAGGUAGCAUAAUCAUUAGUCUUUUAAUUGAAGGCUGGAAUGAAUGGUUUGACGAAAUAUUAACUGUCUCUUUGUAAUUGAUAAAAUUUAACUUCUGAGUUAAAAGGCUUAGAUAAUUGUAAAAGACGAGAAGACCCUAUAGAUCUUUAUACGUGGAUGUAUUUAUUUUGUUUAGGUGUAAUUUUAAUAGAUACGUUAUUGUAUUUUGUUGGGGUGACAUGAAGAUAAGAUUAACUCUUUAUAAUUGAUACAUUGAUUUAUGAAUAAUUGAUCCGUUAAUAGCGAUUUUAAGAUAAAGUUACCUUAGGGAUAACAGCGUAAUUUUUUUUGAGAGUUCUUAUCGACAAAAAAGAUUGCGACCUCGAUGUUGGAUUAAGGAAUAUGAUUAGGUGCAGAAAUUUAAUUAAUAAGUCUGUUCGACUUUUAAAUCCUUACGUGAUCUGAGUUCAGACCAUUAGAUACC